GCAGCACAGCUCCAACAGCAGGAAGGCCAGUGUGUCUUUAUGCUGUGCCAUGGCCAUUGUUGCUUGGAGCAAGGUUGUUGAGGACCUUAACCCAGCAGACCUAUGGAUUCUGUUCAUUAUGAGCACUGAUUAUUAACACGGGUUGGCAUGAAAGCUGGGGCAGUUGUGUGUGUGUUAAGAGAUGUGCUCUUGUAAUUACUCAGUAGGACAUUCUUCUGCACAGGCCUCUCCUUUAACCUCAGUGUUGGUGGGGAGGAACACACUUCCACGAUCGAUUCCUAUCUCCUCCUGCCUUCAACUUUCCCUAUUUCACCCCCCCCCAUCUCUGCUGCAUGCUGAAAGGACCUGUGGUAAACUUGAAUCCUCAUUGAGAAACAGCUUUAGUGACCAUAUUUUUUUUUAAAUCCAGUAACAGCACUGCCCUCCCCAGCAAACAGUUACAGGGUGGAGGUCAUUAAAGGGUAAAUUCGUUUUUUUUUUUUUUCUUCAACCUGGACACUGUUUUCCCAUGUUUGUAUGUCUAUGUGUGUCUAAAACUCUUUGAAAUUGGUCCAGUAUUAAGCAAGCAGUUGGCAGAGACAAAACAAGCUACAACGUUAACGUUAAUGGGCAAUUGCGCGCCUUUAAUUUCCAUUCACUAAAAGUGCUGUUUUUGCCCCUGACAUGCUUAGAUUGUUUUUCUUAGUGUCUGACGAGUUUCAUUAACUGGGUGAACCAACCAGCCAGAUGUUAAAAACAUUCGGGGUUCAGCCCAAACAUAGGCGGGUCUGUGGGCAUGCUCCCCCGUGUACCAUAUGCACUAUUUUUUCAAGCCAAUUGAUAAUAUAAUCUGCACAUCAUUUGAUAAAACAUGAUAGUUGCUAAGGACAAAAAAUCAUCCUGUAGAGCCUACAUCUAUCUAAUUGUUCUUCAACUGUCUUUAGUAUUCUGAAACUAGAACACAACAAAUGUUAAGGAUGAAUCAUUUUUACUCCUGUCACCUAAAAAGAGGCAAACAUUGUCUGAUGUUAAUAUUUUUAAGUCCCAUAACACGGGUAGGGUAGGAAUUUGGCAUAAACAGCAUUACUAAUCUUGAAACCCAUUUUUGUUAUAAUGUUAUACUAAAUCUACUACAUUUUAUUGAAAUGCCAUAAUAAUCUGGGCUGCUCUAAUUGCAAAUCAAGGAUCCUUAACAAUGUCAAGUAAACAUGGUCUUAAAUGCUAUGAUUUGAAUAUUAGGCCAACAGAAGAACAUUUGCAUUUUAUUAGAUUUAUUUAGGGAAUAGCAUAGUAGUAGCAGUAGUAUAGAACAGUUGAAAGUAUUUUGAAUGCCUAAAAGAUUCGGGACUUUUGAGAAAACAUUUGGGGCUGGAGCUCCAGUUGCAAAAAGGCCAACAGUAUGGAUUUAAUAAACAUUAACUUUCUCAAGAGCUAUUUUUGAAGGGAACACAAACAAUACAGCCAAAAUAGUACAGUUGUAGAGGAUAUGUGUAGUUGUGGAACUCCAGCAAGUAGGCUGGCAAGACUAUUUUAUUCACUUUAAACAUUGGAUGAAGUUAUUCUUUUCUGUAAUAAAGAUGAUACUGAACGGAGUACUGAGCCUCAUAGCAAGCAAGCUAACUAACAAGCCAGUCAGCUCAUUGUCUGUAACCAGUGAAAGCAUGUUGGGUGGAAUUAGCAAGUUAGCUAGCUAACUAACUAUCAAACAAGCUACCAAACAAGCUAGGUAACGUUAUAAUCGCUAACAUAGAGGAUUCAUGGAAAAAUCAAAGUUGUGUGUAAAG